AAAGCCCUUUAAAACAAGGGAAUUUUUCUUUUGAUAUAAAUAUGUCUUUUAACUGUGCUUUGUGUCCAGCCCUACUGUGCAUCAUUCCUGACACUAUAAUAAUGAUUAUAUGUUCUUUAUAUGAGCCCAGCAUCCUAGAUGGUGGGGAAAAUAAGUAGUUGCCUUCAGCACUUACAAAUCCAUGUGCUUCCAAGUACUAUUGAUCAGUGCUAAAGCUUUCUUCUGUCUUUAACACCCUUUGCCACAGAUCCAGACCCUUUUUCAGAAUAGCUCUGCAAUCCCAGAAGGAUGUAUGAAUUAAUAAAGCUUUCCACAUGCUCAAGAAAGAAACAACUCCAUCCAGCUCAUUAGAAUAAACUGGUACAGAAGAUGCUGAACCUAAUUUGUGUAUUUCUAAAAGCCUUCAUUUUAUGCUUUCAGUCAAGAAUAUUUGAGUUCUGUUCUGGUUAACAAAUAUGAGCAGGUAUUUUUGAAACUGUAUUAAAGUUCACAGAACCUAUCCUUCCUCUUCCUACUAUCUUAAUUUAUACUCAUCAUUGCUACCUCUUUUUGAAAUAUCUGCAUAGUUCUGCUCUUUCCAUAAACCUCAUGUACAACUUAGGAAUAGGUGAGUUUUAAAAGAUAUCAAUAUACGAAUGUGUUUAACAUCUUCAUUCAAAAUUCCAGGAGGGAGCUUCAGGACCUGAUCAAGGCACAAGAGCUAGCUUGUUCUUCUUGAAGUUUGAUGGAUCCAUCCACCUCCACCCUUCUUCAACCCCAUUACUUUGGACAGAAAUAUUAAAAAGGACACUUAAAUGUGCUGCGGCAAGCAAAAUACAGUGCAGAGAGCUUUGAAACCGUUCAUGAGGGCUUGGGAGCAAUUUCUUGGGCAUUGCCACUUUGAUAGACUAAGAUGUUAAUGGCAGAGGUUUUGGCAAGUAUAAGGAAGAAGGAGAAACUAGAGAGUGAUGACACUAUGCCUGAUGGGAAGGGUGUGGGGGAGGAAGGAAAGACAACCAUGGGCCCAAGCAAAGGCUUUCCCAAAGAAAGAGCAAUUGGGAUUUUUAUUCAGGCUGCUCUUGGAAAACUUCCCUUUCCUUCCAACAUGACAAGGGGAACAGCAGCUCCCUACAGAAUAAUGCACAAAUAAAUUCAGUGGGAACAACUAUAGUCUUGAAACUAA